CUUCCCGCCUCGGCCUCCCAGAGUGCUGAGAUUACAGAUGUGAACCCAUGCCAGGCCAGGAAUUUUGUUUUUUAGGAAGGCUUUCUACUAAUGGAAUUCCUGGCCUUGAGAGGAUAUUACUUUCGACGGAAAGGAUUUUUUUGUUAUUAAAAGCAGCUUAAAAUUGGUGCCUUAUUCAGACACAAGCAAAAGGACAUUAGCCCAGCUUUGGAAAUAGAGCCACCUAAGCUGAAGAUUCCCUUGAGAACAAGUACUGUCCUGCGGUUUCAUGGCCUUUCUUCCAUUUGUGGUUCUUGCGAAGUGGAAUUUAAAUGACAUCUUAUCAAGAUCGAUAAAUACUAGUUUCCCAGUGCUGGAAUAUAGAAAAUGGAUGGACAAGUAAAUCCCACUCAGCACCCAUAGUCCAGGCAUGGGGACCUCAACACACCUGAGCCCCAAACAUCACCUUUCAUUCUGGACCUACCAUGAAAGACUUCUGAAUCCAGGAAGAGAAACUGACUGGGCAACAUGUUAUUCAGAAACAGGACCUUGCCCUGUCACUCAGGAUGGAGUUCAAUGGUCCUAUCAUGGCUCAUUAUAGCCUUAAACUCCCAGGCUCAAGCAAUCCUACCAUGUCAGCCUUCCCAGUAGCUGGGACUACAGGAAGUGACCUCACAAUGACUCAAGCUACCACAUACUGUUGAUUGUGAAAUGCCAGUUGAAGCAUAUGUCCUGCGAGCUUAGGGGUGCUACAAGUUGACCACUGCAGCAGUAAAGAUGACUCUGAAGAAUGGCAUGGGAUGGAUCCUUUCGAAUGCACUUGAGCAGCGGUCUCCAACCACAGGGCCACAGAGCUGGAGCUGGAUCUACCAUGAAAGACUUCUGAAUCCAGGAAGAGAGACUGACUGGGCAACAUGUUAUUCAGGGUCUCCCUCUGUUGUCCAAGGCUGGAGUGUAGUAGUGCUA
rnacentral:lncRNA from 1 species